AGAGUUUGAUCCUGGCUCAGAACGAACGCUGGCGGCAGGCUUAACACAUGCAAGUCGAACGCACCCUUCGGGGUGAGUGGCAGACGGGUGAGUAACGCGUGGGAACGUGCCCUUCAGUUCGGAAUAACCCAGGGAAACUUGGGCUAAUACCGGAUACGUCCGUAAGGAGAAAGAUUUAUCGCUGAAGGAUCGGCCCGCGUCUGAUUAGCUAGUUGGUGAGGUAAUGGCUCACCAAGGCGACGAUCAGUAGCUGGUCUGAGAGGAUGAUCAGCCACAUUGGGACUGAGACACGGCCCAAACUCCUACGGGAGGCAGCAGUGGGGAAUAUUGGACAAUGGGCGCAAGCCUGAUCCAGCCAUGCCGCGUGAGUGAUGACGGCCUUAGGGUUGUAAAGCUCUUUCGGCGGGGACGAUAAUGACGGUACCCGCAGAAGAAGCCCCGGCUAACUUCGUGCCAGCAGCCGCGGUAAUACGAAGGGGGCUAGCGUUGUUCGGAAUCACUGGGCGUAAAGGGCGCGUAGGCGGCUUUGUAAGUCGGGGGUGAAAGCCUGUGGCUCAACCACAGAAUUGCCUUCGAUACUGCAUGGCUUGAGACCGGAAGAGGUAAGUGGAACUGCGAGUGUAGAGGUGAAAUUCGUAGAUAUUCGCAAGAACACCAGUGGCGAAGGCGGCUUACUGGUCCGGUUCUGACGCUGAGGCGCGAAAGCGUGGGGAGCAAACAGGAUUAGAUACCCUAGUAGUCC
rnacentral:rRNA from 1 species